AGAGUUUGAUCCUGGCUCAGAUUGAACGCUGGCGGCAGGCCUAACACAUGCAAGUCGAGCGAUAAAAGUCUUCGGACUUAUUAAAGCGGCGGACGGGUGAGUAACGCGGGGGAAUCUACCCGGUAGUGGGGGACAACAGUUGGAAACGACUGCUAAUACCGCAUACGUCCUAAGGGAGAAAGCAGGGGAUCUUCGGACCUUGUGCUAUCGGAUGAGCCCGCGUGAGAUUAGCUAGUUGGUGAGGUAAUGGCUCACCAAGGCGACGAUCUCUAACUGGUUUGAGAGGAUGAUCAGUCACACUGGAACUGAGACACGGUCCAGACUCCUACGGGAGGCAGCAGUGGGGAAUAUUGCACAAUGGGGGAAACCCUGAUGCAGCCAUGCCGCGUGUGUGAAGAAGGCUCUAGGGUCGUAAAGCACUUUCAGUAGGGAGGAAAGGAGUGUAGUUAAUAACUGCAUUCUGUGACGUUACCUACAGAAGAAGCACCGGCUAACUCCGUGCCAGCAGCCGCGGUAAUACGGAGGGUGCAAGCGUUAAUCGGAAUCACUGGGCGUAAAGCGUACGCAGGCGGUUAGUUAAGCUAGAUGUGAAAGCCCCGGGGCUCAACCUGGGAACUGCAUUUAGAACUGGCUAGCUAGAGUGCAGCAGAGGAUAGUGGGAAUUUCUAGUGUAGCGGUGAAAUGCGUAGAUAUUAGAAGGAACACCAUACGCCAAGGCGACUAUCUGGACAUGUAUUGACACUGAGGGGACGAAAGCGUGGGGAGCCAAACAGGAAUUAGAUACUCCUGGUAGUCUCACGACCGUAAAACGA
rnacentral:rRNA from 1 species